rnacentral:rRNA from 1 species
GUCCACGCCGUAAACGAUGGAUACUAGAUAUUGUGCGCAUCGACCCGUGCAGUAUCGUAGCUAACGCGUUAAGUAUCCCGCCUGGGGAGUACGGUCGCAAGACUAAAACUCAAAGGAAUUGACGGGGACCCGCACAAGCAGUGGAGCAUGUGGUUUAAUUCGACGCUAAGCGAAGAACCUUACCGAGGUUUGACAUCCCAGGAAGGCUCUAGAAAUAGAGCUGUGCCUUUUGGAACCUGGUGACAGGUGUUGCAUGGCCGUCGU